rnacentral:lncRNA from 1 species
AAGUUAAAUAUUGUAAUGAUUGUAUUGAGGAUUUCCUUAAUAAGUUUUUUUUAGAUUAUUUCCUAGAUUAAUUGUGAUUAGGGUUGUCCGACUAUAUAUAUUUCCUCCUAGUGAGAACAAUACAAUUGAAGCAUUCACAAAUUCUAAGUAAAUAAAGGAUAAUGAUUUUCAUACUCGUAUUUUCUUCUUCUGCAUUCCUCAUUUUGUUCAUGUUCAUUACUCAUUUAUAUUCUUCACUCAUUCAAUCUAAAUAAAAGGUCGUACCCAGUGCACAAGGCUCCCGCUUUACGCAGGGUCUGGGAGAGGUGAAUGUCGGCUAGCCUUACCCCCAUUUAUGGAGAGGCUGCUCCAAGUCUCGAACCGAGAACCUACCGCUCAUGGGCGAAGGCACUUGCCAUCGCACCAAGUGCGACCUCUACUCAUUCAAUCUAAAUACUUGAAGAAAAUAAGGAAAACAUACAAAGAGGAAAGAAUAGUGCGAAAAUCACUUCUGGAAACAUAUAAAUUAAGUCAAUAGACCCCAUAUCUAUUAUUACCCCAUUAGGGCCGACCUUGAGAAUUUGAGAGCCCUAGGUGAGCCUUUGAAGUGGGGCUCUAGAUUUCUAUGACCCCUAACCCUUUGUUCAUUGAUAUAUAUAUGUAAAGAAGAAAAAUCAACGUAAAGCAACACCACGAUGGUUUCAAACAACAGACACCAAGAACAUUACACACUAUAUUUCCACCACAUCAAUAACUCAUUUGAUAAAUUUGGCUUACUUUUAUUACUUUAUAUUAUAUCUACAGCAUAUAAUAUAUAUAUAUAUAUAUAUUUUUUUUUUUUUGAGGCUCCUUGAGAUGGAAGGCCCUAGACAAUCGCCUU